AUACGUAGGGUGCGAGCGUUAAUCGGAAUUACUGGGCGUAAAGCGUACGCAGGCGGCUGGGUAAGACAGGUGUGAAAUCCCCGGGCUUAACCUGGGAACUGCAUUUGUGACUGCCCAGCUAGAGUUUGUCAGAGGGGGGUGGAAUUCCACGUGUAGCAGUGAAAUGCGUAGAGAUGUGGAGGAACACCGAUGGCGAAGGCAGCCCCCUGGGGCAUGACUGACGCUCAGGUACGAAAGCGUGGGGAGCAAACAGGAUUAGAUACCCUGGUAGUCCACGCCCUAAACGAUGUCGACUAGUUGCCGGGGAUUUUCAUCCUCGGUAACGCAGCUAACGCGUGAAGUCGACCGCCUGGGGAGUACGGUCGCAAGAUUAAA
rnacentral:rRNA from 1 species